rnacentral:rRNA from 1 species
AUUGAACGCUGGCGGCAUGCCUUACACAUGCAAGUCGAACGGCAGCGGCGACUUCGGUCCGCCGGCGAGUGGCGAACGAGUGAGUAAUGUACCGGAAGGUACCAUUCCGUGGGGGGUAACGUAGCGACAGGAACGCUAAUCCCGAAUCUUCUCGCCGUAGGAACGCCGGGGACCGAAAGGCCUAGGAGUCUUUAAGCGGCCGGUAUCAGAUUAGCUAGUUGGUGAGGUAAAAGCUCACCAAGGCGACGAUCUGUAGCGGGUCUGAGAGGAUGAUCCGCCACACUGGAACUGAGACACGGUCCAGACUCCUACGGGAGGCAGCAGUGGGGAAUUUUGGGCAAUGGGGGCAACCCUGAUCCAGCCAUGCCGCGUGAGUGAAGAAGGCCUUCGGGUUGUAAAACUCUUUCGGCCGGGAAAAAAUCGCAUGGGUUAAUACCCUGUGUGGAUGAUGGUACCGGAAUAAGAAGCACCGGCUAACUACGUGCCAGCCGCCGCGGUAA